CAAGCUUGAAAAAUGCUUAGCAUGUGCCAUUUCCUUUUAAUAAAAUACUGUCAUGGGUUUGGAAUGGCAUAAGGAACAUCAACCAUAACAGACAUUAUGAUGAUUUAGGCUCCUGGAUUUGGAUUUGUGUGUUUAUGUUGUCAUAUACACCCAUGAAUCCCAUAUGCUGUGAAACAUGCUAACCUUCACACUGCAGUUGCUGAACAACAGCUAGAGCUUUCCUCUGCAGCAUCUUCCUCCUUCAGACCACACACAUGACCGCACUAUAAUCAGUGUUUGGAAUGCAGUCGAUCGCAGCACUUGAGAUUAGAAUCAGACAACUGCACUUGGUUUGUUAUGCAGAAUGCAGUGUUUGUAGGUCUGGCCAUUUGGGAAAUGUCAAUUUCAAAGCUGGAGUGUCUUGUGGUGAAAGAA